GACGAACGCUGGCGGCGUGCUUAACACAUGCAAGUCGAACGAUGAAACCUAGCUUGCUAGGUCGAUUAGUGGCGAACGGGUGAGUAACACGUGACUAACCUGCCCCUUUCUCUGGGAUAACGCUCCGAAAGGAGUGCUAAUACCGGAUACUCACACCGAGGCACAUGCCUUGGUGUGGAAAGUUUUUCGGAAAGGGAUGGAGUCGCGGCCUAUCAGCUUGUUGGUGAGGUAACGGCUCACCAAGGCGACGACGGGUAGCCGGCCUGAGAGGGGGACCGGCCACACUGGGACUGAGACACUGCCCAGACUCCUACGGGAGGCAGCAGUGGGGAAUAUUGCACAAUGGGCGCAAGCCUGAUGCAGCGACGCCGCGUGAGGGAUGAAGGUCUUCGGAUUGUAAACCUCUUUCAGUAGGGACGAAGCGAAAGUGACGGUAUCUAAAGAAGAAGCACCGGCUAACUACGUGCCAGCCGCCGCGGUAA
rnacentral:rRNA from 1 species